rnacentral:rRNA from 1 species
GAUGAACGCUGGCGGCGUGCAUAAUACAUGCAAGUCGAGCGAACAGACGAGGAGAACGCUCCUGUGAAGUUAGCAGCGGACGAGUGAGUAACACGUGACUAACCUACCUAUAAGACUGGGAUAACUUCGAGAAACCGGAGCAACUACCGGAUCAUCUAUAGAACAUCAUGGUUCAAUAGUAGAAGCGGGUUUUGCUGUCACUUAUAGAUGGAUCCGCGCAGCGUUAGCUAGUUCGUACGGUAGCGGCUUACCAAGGUAACGAUGCGUAGCCGACCAGAGAGGGUUAGCGGCCGCACUGGAACGGAGACACGGUCCAGACUCCUACCGGAGGCAGCAGUAGUGAAUCUGCCUCAAUGGGCGAAAGCCUGACGGAGCAACGCCGCGUGAGUGAUGAAGGUCGUCUGAUCGUUAAACUCUGUUAGUUGGGAAGAACAAAUGUGUAAGUAACUAGGCACGUCUUGACGGUACCUAAUCAGAAAGCCACGGCUAACUACGUG